rnacentral:rRNA from 1 species
CAGCAGCCGCGGUAAUACAGAGGGUGCGAGCGUUAAUCGGAUUUACUGGGCGUAAAGCGUGCGUAGGCGGCUUUUUAAGUCGGAUGUGAAAUCCCUGAGCUUAACUUAGGAAUUGCAUUCGAUACUGGGAAGCUAGAGUAUGGGAGAGGAUGGUAGAAUUUCAGGUGUAGCGGUGAAAUGCGUAGAGAUCUGGAGGAAUACCGAUGGCGAAGGCAGCCAUCUGGCCUAAUACUGACGCUGAGGUACGAAAGCAUGGGGAGCAAACAGGAUUAGAUACCCCGGUAGUCCCUGUCUCUUAUAC